rnacentral:rRNA from 1 species
GAUGAACGCUGGCGGCGUGCUUAACACAUGCAAGUCGAACGGAAAGGCCCAAGCUUGCUUGGGUGCUCGAGUGGCGAACGGGUGAGUAACACGUGGGUGAUCUGCCCUGCACUUUGGGAUAAGCCUGGGAAACUGGGUCUAAUACCGGAUAGGACCAUCGUUUAGUGUCGGUGGUGGAAAGUUUUUCGGUGUGGGAUGAGCUCGCGGCCUAUCAGCUUGUUGGUGGGGUAAUGGCCUACCAAGGCGUCGACGGGUAGCCGGCCUGAGAGGGUGUACGGCCACAUUGGGACUGAGAUACGGCCCAGACUCCUACGGGAGGCAGCAGUGGGGAAUAUUGCACAAUGGGCGCAAGCCUGAUGCAGCGACGCCGCGUGGGGGAUGACGGCCUUCGGGAUGUAAACUCCUUUCGCCAAGGACGAAGCGUUUUGUGACGGUACUUGGAGAAGAAGCACCGGCUAACUACGUG